GACGAACGCUGGCGGCGUGCUUAACACAUGCAAGUCGAGCGGAGCGGCGAACGGGUGAGUAUCGCGUGAGUAACUGCCCCCCUCUCUGGGAUAACAGUUGGCAACGGCUGCUAAUACCGGAUAGUGGGGGAUGACUCGUGUCCUAUUGGCUUGUUGGUGGGGUAGUGGCCUACCAAGGCGACGACGGGUAGCCGGCCUGGGAGGGCGGCCGGCCACAAGGCGCUAAGAUAGGGCCCAGUCUGCUACAGGGGGCAGCAGUGGGGAAUAUUGCGCAAUGGGGGAAACCGUGAGGAGGCAGCGCCGCGUGCGGGAUGACGGCCUUCGGGUUGGAAACCGCUUGCGGCCAUGACGCGGUAGUGGCAGAAGAAGCACCGGCUAACUACGUGCCAGCAGCCGCGGUAAUUC
rnacentral:rRNA from 1 species